rnacentral:lncRNA from 1 species
AUGUGGGAUGGGCCACCUGCCGCAGGUUUACAAAUAUCCAGGUGCAAUGCAGGGCGAGCCUGGUCGCGCAGGGACCAGUGUUCGAGCCCCCAAAGGAGCUGGCAACGCUCACCCUCGGCGGCGCAGCGUUUGUUCCCACUAAUCUCCGUGGGCCCUGAUUCCCGGUCGCCCCCUGACACAGCCAAGUGUCAGUUCGCGAGUGUCCCUUCCGUCACUAGAUGUCACUGUGAGUCAACGGCUAGUGGCGGGGGACCCCGGUGUUUUACGGAUCUUCCAGGGUUUCCAGCAUGGUCAGUCCCCGUACUUGUGCCCUCCCAGACCCGGGAGCGCAGAGCCGGGCGGGGCCUCCGGGAGGCCGGGACGGCUCCGCGACCCAAGCGGAAGGCGCGACGGGCUCGGGCUGCAAGGCUGGCGGCGCGAUGCGGAAGGCGGACCAGCGCCGCGCUCCUCUCCGCCCCCGCGAGCGAGAUGGUCAGGUGCCACGGAGGCGCGGCCCGCUGCGGGCCGGCGGGGGAGGGCAGGGGCUCGGCGCCCGCGGUUCGCCAUCGCCCAGGGCAGGGCUCCAGGCGGGCGCGGGCGCCGCGCGGGGCGGAGCUCAAGCAGCCGCGGGCGGGGCGGGGCGGGGCCGGGCGGGGCGGGGCCUGGGAGCGCGCCGGCCGCCGGAGGGGGCGGGGCGGGGCGGAGCCGCGGCGCGCGCGCCCGCCGGGGGGAGGGGCGGAGCGGGCGCCGAGCGCGCGCAGGCCGGCCGCCGCGAGCGUGGGGCGAGCGUGGACCGCGGCGCGGCGGUGCGACUCCUUCGCCGGCCCUCCUCCCCGCCCCCGGCGAGGGCACCGUGUGCGGCGGCGCCGGGGCCCGCGAGGCCGGAGGAGGCGGCCGCGCCCGGGCAUGGUGGUCUGGGACAGGGCUGAAGAUCCAUCUGCUGAGGAAUUGAGGAAGCUAAUGAUGUUGCAUGGAGGCCAGUAUCAUGUGUAUUAUUCCAGAUCCAAAACAACACACAUCAUUGCCACAAAUCUUCCUAAUGCCAAAAUCAAAGAGUUAAAGGGAGAAAAAGUAAUUCGACCAGAAUGGAUUGUGGAAAGAAAUCACAUAAUUAAGAAAAUUGAGACGGAAAGUGAAGUCAGAGUUAAUGGAGUGAACAACUGGAAUGAAGAAGCUGCAGAUAAUGACUUUGAUUUUGUGGGGCUGGAGCCUGUCUUCCCAGGAAGAAAACAGAACGGAAUUCCGCAUCCCAGAGGUGGCCGUGCCCUUUGUAAUGGGCACGCCCACAGCUCUCACGGUGCCUUAAAAAGCUUGGACUGCCUGGCGCCCCCUGGCAGCGGUGUUGCCAGCAGGCUGUCCCCAGAGCCCGCCCGGGAGGAGGCCGCGGGGGCCUUCAGAGACUGCACCGUGCAGCUGGCCCAGCAGAGCACCUGCGGCGCGGACGCUCUGCGGGAUCCACACAGAACUAAGCCCUUCCCCUCGCCGCCUUUGCACAGUAACCCUCGAGUCAACGGUGCUCACCACUCCACCGUUCAGGGGCCUUCAAGCACAAAGAGCACUUCGUCAGUACCUUCCCCAAGCAGGGCGGGGCCCUCGGGGCCGCCCAGACCCUCGGACUGCAACUUCAUCUCGGACUUCUACUCCCGGUCGAGACUGCACCACAUAUCCACGUGGAAGUGCGAACUGACUGAGUUUGUCAAUGCGCUGCAGAGGCAGAGUAGUGGUAUCUUCCCAGGAAGGGAAAAGUUAAAAAAAAUGAAAGCAGGCAGGUCCGCACUUGUUGUAGCUGACACAGGAAAUAUGUCAGUAUUGAGUUCACCCAGACAUCAGAGCUGUAUAAUGCAUGUUGAUAUGGAUUGCUUCUUUGUAUCAGUGGGUAUACGAAAUAGACCAGAUCUCAAAGGAAAACCAGUGGCUGUUACAAGUAACAGGGGCACCGGCAGGGCCCCUCUGCGUCCGGGCGCUAACCCUCAGUUGGAGUGGCAGUAUUAUCAGAAUAAGAUCCUGAGAGGCAAAGCAGCAGAAAUACCAGAUCCGUCAACGUGGGAGAGUCAAGAUUCUGCACAGAUAAAUGGAAUUGAUUCUGUUUUGUCAAAGGCUGAAAUCGCAUCUUGUAGUUAUGAAGCCAGACAAGUUGGCAUUAGGAAUGGAAUGUUUUUCGGGCAAGCCAAACAGCUCUGUCCCAGUCUCCAGGCGGUCCCUUACGACUUCCACGCGUAUAAGGAGGUUGCACGGACGAUGUACGAGACGCUGGCCAGCUACACACACAACAUCGAAGCCGUCAGCUGUGAUGAAGCCCUGGUAGACAUCACCGAGAUCCUCGCUGAGACCAGACUCACGCCUGACGAGUUUGCGAACGCUGUCCGCAUGGAAAUUAAGGACCAGACUAAAUGUGCUGCCUCUGUGGGGAUCGGUUCUAAUAUUCUGCUGGCUAGAAUGGCAACUAGAAAAGCAAAGCCGGAUGGCCAGUACCACUUAAAACCAGAAGAGGUAGACGAUUUCAUCAGAGGCCAGCUAGUCACUAACCUACCAGGAGUUGGGCGUUCAAUGGAGUCCAAGCUGAUGUCUCUGGGGAUCAGGACGUGCGGAGACCUGCAGUACCUGACCAUGGCGAAACUCCAGAAGGAAUUUGGCCCCAAGACCGGCCAGAUGCUUUACAGGUUCUGCCGAGGCUUGGACGACAGACCGGUUCGCACUGAGAAGGAAAGAAAGUCUGUUUCAGCUGAGAUCAACUAUGGAAUAAGGUUUUCCCAGCCAAAAGAAGCAGAAGCUUUUCUUCUGAAUCUUUCAGAAGAAAUUCAGCGGCGCCUUGAAGCUGUGGGCAUGAAGGGUAAACGCCUGACUCUCAAAGUCAUGGUGCGGAAGCCGGGGGCCCCUGUAGAAACGGCCAAAUAUGGAGGCCAUGGCAUCUGUGAUAUCACCACCAGGACUGUGACUCUUGACCAGGCAACAGACAGUGCGAAACUCAUUGGCACGGCCACGCUGAACAUGUUUCACGCGAUGAAGCUCAGCAUAGCUGACAUGCGAGGGGUUGGGAUUCAUGUGAAUCAGUUGGUUCCAGCGAAUCCAAACCCGCCUGCGUGCCUCAGCCGCCCAGCAGCCCAGCCCAGCCACGGUGCGGGCGGGGCCCCGUCUGUCCUGGAACUCCUGCAGGCCCAGAGGGCGAGGCAGCCCCCGGAAGAGGAGCCCGCAGGAGUAUUUCUGGCUGCGGUGGAUCUGGAAAUGCCACCUGCCCCUCGAUCUGGCACUGUGCCCUCUCUGUCUCCACACCUGACGCCGGGUGUCGCGCCUGUCACUACCAGCAAAGCCGAGUGUGCCAGCAAGUGGAACGGGCUGCAUUCUCCUGUCAGCUUAAAGCCAAGACUCAACCUGAGCAUAGAGGUCCCAUCACCUUCCCAGCUCGAUCGCUCCGUCCUGGAGGCUCUCCCGCCCGACCUACGGGAGCAGGUGGAGCAGGCAUGUGCUGUGCAGCAGGCGGAGCCACCGGGCGACCGGAGGAGAGAGCCUGUCAACGGCUGCAGCGCAGGGAUCCUGCCCCAACCCGUGGGGACUGUGCUGCUACAAAUACCGGCACCUCAGGACCCUACCAGCGACACGGGCAUUAAUUUAAUAGCUCUUCCGGCGUUUUCCCAGGUGGACCCAGAGGUGUUUGCGGCUCUCCCUGUGGAGCUUCAGAAGGAGCUGAGAGCAGCCUACGAUCAGAGACAGCGUCAGGGAGAACACAGCCCUCCCCAGCAGCCGGCCGGCGCCCCCGUGCCAAAGAACCCGUUACUGCAGCUAAAACCAGCAGCGGUGAAAGACAAGAAACGAAACAAGAAAAAAAGUCCCCUCAGCCCCCAAAGAAAGAGUCAGAGCCCUCUGAAAACCACACUGGUGAACAGCCCGGCAAAGACCCUGCCAGGGGCCUGCACAAGCCCCCAGAAGCUCAUUGAUGGGUUUCUAAAACACGAAGGUCCCACGUCAGAGAAACCUCUGGGAGAACUCUCUGCUUCCACUUCAGGUGUUGCUGGCCUUUGUGGGUUGCAGCCUGACGUGUCCACAAGUGUCAGGCCCCCGGCGCCCAACCUGGCUGGAGCCGUGGAGUUCAGUGACGUGAAGACCCUGCUCAGAGAGUGGAUCACCACCAUCUCAGAUCCGAUGGAGGAAGACAUUCUGCAAGUUGUAAAAUACUGCACUGAUCUAAUAGAGGAGAAGGAUUUGGAAAAAUUGGACCUCGUUAUAAAAUACAUGAAAAGGCUGAUGCAGCAAUCAGUGGAGUCGGUUUGGAAUAUGGCGUUUGACUUCAUUCUCGACAAUGUUCAGGUGGUUUUACAGCAAACGUACGGAAGCACAUUAAAAGUCACGUGAAGGUGAAUCACCAGGGAGCCUGGCGCUCUCCACUAGCUGUGCCAUAAGUGCUUGUGAGGUAUUUGCAAAGUGCAUGAUAGUAAUGCUCUGAGUUUUAUAAUUUUAAAUUUCUUUUUAAGCGAAGUGUUUUGUACAUUUCUUUUCAGUAAGUGCCAAAUUUGUCAGUAUUGCAUGUAAAUAAUUGUGUUCUUUUACUGUAGCAUAGAUUCUAUUUACAAAAUGUUUGUUUAUAAAGUUUUAUGGAUUUUUACAGUGAAGUGUUUACAGUUGUUUAAUAAAGAACUGUAUGUAUAUUUUGU